UGAGUAGGCGGUAAUAUGUGUCAGAUGUAAAAGGCUAUGGCUUAACCAUAGUUGGCAUUUGAAACUGUAUUACUUGAGUGCAGGAGAGGUAAGUGGAAUUCCUAGUGUAGCGGUGAAAUACGUAGAUAUUAGGAGGAACACCAGUGGCGAAGGCGACUUACUGGACUGUAACUGACGCUGAGUCACGAAAGCGUGGGUAGCAAACAG
rnacentral:rRNA from 1 species